CCCUUAGAUGUUCUGGGCCGCACGCGCGCUACACUGAUACAUGCAACGAGUUUAUAACCUUGAUCUGACGGUCUGGGUAAUCUUCAAACUGUAUCGUGUUAGGGAUCGAUUCUUGCAAUUUUUAAUCGUAAACGAGGAAUUCCUAGUAAACGCAAGUCAUCAGCUUGCAUUGAUUACGUCCCUGCCCUUUGUACACACCGCCCGUCGACUCUACCGAUUGAAUGGUUCGGUGAAAACUUUGGACUGUGGCAUUGUCCUUCAUUGGACUUCGCCGUAGGAAAUUGUAUAAACCUCNUNAUUUAGNGGAAGAAUAANUCGUANCA
rnacentral:rRNA from 1 species